rnacentral:tRNA from 2 species
CCACAGUAGCUCAGUGGUAGAGCUAUCGGCUGUUAACCGAUCGGUCGUAGGUUCGAGUCCUACCUGUGG